UUUUUUUGCUUUACAUUUUUCUUCCCCACUAGCCAUUGGGCAAACCCUGCCACAUCCAAAGAGUAACUCAUUUUUAAAGCGCCAUUAGGGUGCAGGUCCAGGAGAUUUCUCAGCUUCAGUGUCUCCGCUGAAAAGGCAGGCAAGAUCAGUGGUGGAGAAUCCACCUCAUCCCCACUGUCCUGCCAGGGGCAGAGCAGGUGAGAUCACCCAGCAGGUAAAGGACCUGGGGAAGCCUGGACACCUGCUGACCUCAGAGCCAGGGCACACGACCUUCCUUGGCUUUUUUCCUUGGAGGGUGGCCUCCCUUCUUGCCUUCAGCUACUCAGUUUCACAGCCAGCUGAGCAGAGGGGGUGCUCAGAGGGGUGGAGCUCUGCAGGAUUGGGCCUUGAAGGCUUGGUCCAAC
rnacentral:lncRNA from 1 species